UUGUCCUGGAAUUCCUCUUUACCAUUAUUGGAACCAUCAGAAUUUCUCUUACAAUCUCUGUGUGCAAAGAAUCCCUCUGGCUUCCCUCCUACCCACCUCAGGACAAAAAACAAAUAUGGCUCUGAAAAGGAGGCAUGAUUUACCAGGCAGAGGAGAUGAAGCAUACGUCAUUUCUUUUAUCAGAUCACCAAACCCACGUUACUCACAACGUGGCUAAAUUUUGCUCAAUAGCAAUGAAUAUACGCCAACAACUAAUGAACACUAUAGUGGAAUAAUUUAUCAUGCCACUGUGUAUUCGUAAAGCUAUAUUGUUGCUAUGCUGUAUGUGUAUGAUAUUAUGUUUUUCUGCUUGCUUCUGUACUGGUCAAAGACUGCAAUAAAGUGUAUCUAUCUAUC